UGCAAGUCGAGGGGAAACGACAUUGGAAGCUUGCUUCCUUUGGGCGUCGACCGGCGCACGGGUGAGUAACGCGUAUCCAACCUUCCCGCAAGUAAGGGAUAACCCGUAGAAAUGCGGCCUAAUACCUUAUGUUUUCCUUAGAGGGCAUCUGAUGAGGAACAAAGAUCCGUCGCUUGCGGAUGGGGAUGCGUCUGAUUAGUUAGUCGGCGGGGUAACGGCCCACCGAGACGACGAUCAGUAGGGGUUCUGAGAGGAAAGUCCCCACAUUGGAACUGAGACACGGUCCAAACUCC
rnacentral:rRNA from 1 species